GACAUGAUACGUAGCCGACCUGAGAGGGUAAUCGGCCACAUUGGGACUGAGACACGGCCCAAACUCCUACGGGAGGCAGCAGUAGGGAAUCUUCCACAAUGGACGAAAGUCUGAUGGAGCAAGCCGCGUGAGUGAAGAAGGGUUUCGGCUCGUAAAACUCUGUUGUUAAAGAAGAACAUGAGAGUAACUGUUCAUUGACGGUAUUUAACCAGAAAGCCACGGCUAACUACGUGCCAGCAGCCGCGGUAAUACGUAGGUGGCAAGCGUUGUCCGGAUUUAUUGGGCGUAAAGCGAGCGCAGGCGGUUUUUUAAGUCUGAUGUGAAAGCCUUCGGCUAACCGAGAAGUGCAUCGGAAACUGGGAACUUGAGUGCAGAAGAGGACAGUGGAACUCCAUGUGUAGCGGUGAAUGCGUAGAUAUAUGGAAGAACACCAGUGGCGAAGGCGGCUGUCUGUCUGUAACUGACGCUGAGGCUCGAAAGAUGGGUAGCAACAGGAUUAGAUACCCUGGUAGUCCAUCCGUAAACGAUGAGUGCUAAGUGUUGGAGGGUUUCCGCCCUUCAGUGCUGCAGCUAACGCAUUAAGCAUCCGCCUGGGGAGUACGACCGCAAGGUUGAAACUCAAAGGAAUUGACGGGGGCCCGCACAAGCGGUGGAGCAUGUGGUUUAAUUCGAAGCU
rnacentral:rRNA from 1 species